CAGACUUUGAAAUAGAGAUUUGCAUGCAGGAGGUUUGAAUGAGGGAGUGUGCUCAGGAAGAACCCCUGUGAGGGAGUGAGGGAAGCAAGAUCGGGCAGAGGGAGUCGUGGGACUGCGUGCGAUGCAGCUGCACUGGAGGCCUGGAGCUGAAAUGACCUUCAGAAUUGUGCUGAACUGAGGCAAGGGGACCAGGCUUUUUUCCCUGGCACCAACAGUCGUUGAGGGCAGGCCGACCCCAGGGAAGAGGCAUAACUUUGGUGAGGCAAUUCCCUUCAGUGGGCCAGCUCCCAGAAAGAGCAGUAGCUGUCAACCUUCAGCAGCAGGCACUCCCGGGAGCCAGGGAAAUGAAUGCCUCCUUUUGAAGGGGACAUCUGGGCAGUGCGCAGAAUACAUUACACCAAAUAAGGUUUUUCCAUAAUUAGCUCAAACUGCUUGAGCUGCAAAAGAAGAACUUUAAAGCUGGGUAUUUCUCUUCUGGGAAGCAAGUUCCCCAAGGACAGUUUGUGACCUAUUCAGACCAACAGAAGAGAGCAAGCCCAUUGGAAAAGAGCUAAUUACAAGUUGAGACUCAAGGAAUUGGCUCACGCCAGUUAUGGAGGCCAAGAAGUCCCAUGGUCUGCCAUCCCCAAGCUGGAGAACCAGGAAAGCUGCUGAUGUAACUCAGACCCAGUCUGAAGGCCUGAGAAUGGGGUGGAGGUGAGGGAGCCCCAUGGUGUCAGUCCUGGUCAGAGUCUGAAAACCCAAGGAGGACCAGAGGCACCAAUGUCCUAGGGCAGGAAAAGAUAGAUGUCUCACCUCAAACAGAGAGAGCAAAUUCACCCUUCCUCCACCUUUUUGUUCUGUUCAGGCCCUCAAUGGAUUGGAUGAUGCCCACCCACAUUAGUAAGGGAGAUCUUCUUCACUCAGUCUACUGAUUCAAAUGCUAAUCUCUCUGGCGUGUGUCAGAGACACACCCAGAAAUAAUGUUUUAUAGGCUAUCUGGGCAUCCUUUAGCCUAGUAAAGUUGACACGUGAAAUUAACCAUCACGCCCAGUCAAAUCAAUAUUUAUUAACAGCCUCCAUUACGCAAAGCACAGCACUAGAUACUGUGCAAAAUACAAAAGAAAUGAGAAAUGUAACCCUGCCUUCAGAGUGUACAAUGUAAUAUUCUCUUGUGUGAGCACACUAUCAGUGGGAAAAGAAAAAAGAGCUACCCCAGAAUACCCGAUCUCUUUUUCUGGAGGAUGAAGCUUUCAUGGACUACUUCUAUUACAGGAUGAAGAAGCUUCACGCCUAACAGAAUAUCCUCUGACUUCUUUGUUUCAUUUUUUCUUCUCUACAAACAAUUUCUAAAGUAAAGAGGAAAAUAUUUCUACUUACUUACAAAAAUGAAUUCUUAUUUCUCAUUUUUUCCCUCUAUUUGCAGCCCUCUUUUUUCCUACUUCCAAUCAGCUCUUUUCCAUAGGUGAAUUAUGUAAGUUUAAUACUUUAUUAAUUGUUAAAUAUUGGUAUUGAAAAGAACAUGGCAAGUUACCUUUGAUUCAUAUGUAUUCAUAAA
rnacentral:lncRNA from 1 species